CGGGAGCCGAGGUGGACGUGCCGUUCGCCAACCCGGUCAGGUCCGGAAGGAAGCAGCCGUAACGAUUUCCGGCACGGGUCGCUUCGGCUCCCACUU
rnacentral:SRP_RNA from 1 species